rnacentral:rRNA from 1 species
AUACGUAGGGGGCAAGCGUUGUCCGGAAUUAUUGGGCGUAAAGCGCGCGCAGGCGGUUUCUUAAGUCUGGUGUGAAAGCCCGCAGCUCAACUGCGGAGGGCCACUGGAAACUGGGAAGCUUGAGUGUAGGAGAGGAGAGCGGAAUUCCACGUGUAGCGGUGAAAUGCGUAGAGAUGUGGAGGAACACCUGUGGCGAAAGCGGCUCUCUGGCCUAUAACUGACGCUGAGGCGCGAAAGCGUGGGGAGCAAACAGGAUUAGAUACCCUGGUAGUCCACGCCGUAAACGAUGAGUGCUAGGUGUUGGGGACUCCAAUCCUCAGUGCCGCAGCUAACGCAAUAAGCACUCCGCCUGGGGAGUACGGCCGCAAGGCUGAA